CGGGGUGUAGCGCAGCUGGCUAGCGCACCACGUUAGGGACGUGGGGGUCGCGUGUUCGAAUCACGUCACUCCGA
rnacentral:tRNA from 1 species